GCCAGCGUAGCUCAAUUGGCAGAGCACCUGAUUUGUAAUCAGGCGGUUGCGGGUUCAAGUCCCGCCGCUGGCUCCA
rnacentral:tRNA from 1 species